GGCCUGGCCCUGGCAGACAUGUCAACCCUGGCCGAGGUCGAAGUGCCAGCCCUGGCUGGAAAGAAGUGUCAGGUCCGGCCAAGGUAGAGGGGCCAGCACUGGCUGAGGCAGAAGGGCCAGGCCAGGCUCUGGCAGACAUGUCAGCCCUGGCUGUAGGAGAGGUGCCAGGACUGGCCAAGCCCGAAGGGCCAGCACUGGCUGAGGCAGAAGAGCCAGGCCUGGCCCUGGCAGACAUGUCAGCACUGGCCAAGGCCAAAGUGCCAGCCCUGACUGCAUCAGAAGAGCCAGGACUGGCCAAGGUAGAAGGUCCAGCAGUAGCCAAGGCAGAAAGGCCGGGCCUGGACCUGGCCGAGGCCGAAGUACCAGCCCUGGGUGGAACAGAAGUGCCAGGUCUGGCCAAGGCAGAAGGGCCAGCACUGGCCCAGGCAGACAUGUCAGCCCUGGCUGCAGCAGAAGUGCCAGUACUGGCUGAGGCAGAAGGGCCAGGCUUGGCCCUGGCAGACAUGUCAGCCCUGGCUGGAGCACAAGUGCCAGGUCUGGCCAAGGCAGAAGGGCCAGCACUGGCCCAGGCAGACAUGUCAGCACUGGCCGAGCCCGAAGUACCAGCCCUGGGUGGAACAGAAGUGCCAAGACUGGCCAAGGCAGAAGGGCCAGCACUGGCUGAGGCAGAAGGGCCAGGCCUGGCCCUGGCAGACAUGUCUGCACUGGGCAAGGCCAACGUGCCAGCCCUGGCUGCAGCAGAAAUGCCAAGACUGGCCAAGGCCGAAGGGCUAGCACUGGCUGAGGCACAAGGGCUGGGCGUGGCCCUGGCAGAAAUAUCAGCAGUGGCUGAGGCCAAAGUGCCUGCCCUGUCUGCAACAGAUGUGCCAGGUCUGGCCAAGGCAGAAGAGCCAGGCCUGGCCCUGGCAGACAUGUCAGCACUGGCCAAGGCCAAAGUGCCAGCCCUGGCUGCAGGAGAAGUGCCAGUACUGGCUGAGGCAGAAGGGUCGGUCCCGUCUGCAGCCCUGGCUCCGGAGCUCUCUACCUCCUGUCUCCAAGAGUCCUCAUAACGUGGCUGUAAGGUGUCUGGGGCUGAAUCAUUGACCUUGAUCAAAAGCUGCAGGACUUUUGUCUUGCUGUUUUGUGUGAGCGUGUUAGGACCCCACAGGAACUCAUAGCGAGGGGGAUCGCUGCUGGGCACCUGGCGGUACUCCAGGUACACUUCCUGCACCAGAUCUUAUGUGAUGAGCUUCCUGGUGUCUCCAAAGAUGAAGUGUCUUCUUCCAUCAUAGAUGCUCAACAUAUUCAGGAACUUCCAGAUCUCCUCCUCAGAGGCGCGAUGACCAUUCAGGUAGGUGACACCCAGCAGAGGCAUCAGAAGACCAUUCUUCGGCAGCCCCCAGUCACCUCUCAUAGACCCACUGUCGCUGAGGUCUAGGUUGCUCACCAGGGUAUAGCAGUGACUGUUGGGCCUGACUUCCUUCAGCACCAGGCCAAACUCCAGCUCCAUGCACUCAGAGUCCCUGCUGGGGAUCUCAGGGAAUUGCUCCCUGUAACUUCUGUGGAUAACCUUCAGCAUUUCUGACCUCUUAAUGAGCUCCCUCAUCAUAUACUUAAACAGCAUGUACCACAGCAAACUCUCUGCCUCCCUGGUCAGAAGAUCUGUGUGAGAGCUCUCAGCAGCAGCUGAGGCCUGGGAGGAAUUUUCACCUCCCUGAACUUGGCCCUCGGCACCUACACCAGAUCUCGAGCGUGCUGCGCCACCACCACCAGAUCUUUUGCAUAUAGCACCUGCAGCAGCACUGGUGGUGCCUUGGGCUCCCUGACGACCCUUCAGGGUGCCAGCAGCAGACGAGCUUGAGGGAGCACUCUCUGAAUCAGGAGGGGAGGAGGAGGUGGUUUCUUCUUCCCCAGAUGUGGUAGCAUGAUCAUGAAGACCCUGAGUCUCAGCCCGGUCCUGGUGACAUUUCUCAUGAGCACAGUGCUUAGUCUUCUGUCCACGAGGCAUGAUGGCUGUGGUCAGGGACUGCAGGCAGGGGUCUGGGCCAAUAGACAGGAGACUGGGGCACCUGGAGGAUG
ensembl:lncRNA